rnacentral:rRNA from 1 species
UACAGAGGGGGCAAGCGUUGUUCGGAAUUACUGGGCGUAAAGGGCGCGUAGGCGGCCUGUUAAGUCGAACGUGAAAUCCCCGGGCUCAACCCGGGAACUGCGUCCGAUACUGGCAGGCUUGAAUCCGGGAGAGGGAUGUGGAAUUCCAGGUGUAGCGGUGAAAUGCGUAGAUAUCUGGAGGAACACCGGUGGCGAAGGCGGCAUCCUGGACCGGUAUUGACGCUGAGGCGCGAAAGCCAGGGGAGCAAACAGG